rnacentral:rRNA from 1 species
CAAUAGCGUAUCUUAAAGUUGUUGCAGUUAAAAAGCUCGUAGUUGGAUUUCUGGUGGGAGCGAUCGGUCUGGCGCUUAGCGCGAGUACUUGCAUCGUCUCCGGCCAUCCUUGGGGAGAGUCUGUCUGGCAUUAGGUUGUCGGGCAGAGGAUCCUCAUCGUUUACUGUGAAAAAAUUAGAGUGUUCAAAGCAGGCUUAUGCCGUUGAAUAUAUUAGCAUGGAAUAAUAAGAUAGGACUUUGGUACUAUUUUGUUGGUUUGCGCACCAAAGUAAUGAUUAAUAGGGACAGUUGGGGGUAUUCGUAUUCCGUUGUCAGAGGUGAAAUUCUUGGAUUUACGGAAGACGAACUACUGCGAAAGCAUUUACCAAGGAUGUUUUCAUUAA